rnacentral:rRNA from 1 species
GACGAACGCUGGCGGCGUGCUUAACACAUGCAAGUCGAACGAUGAAGCCGGAGCUUGCUCUGGUGAAUUAGUGGCGAACGGGUGAGUAACACGUGAGUAACCUGCCCUUGACUCUGGGAUAACUGCGGGAAACUGUAGCUAAUACCGGAUACGACCCUCGGAGGCAUCUCCUGGGGGUGGAAAGAAUUUCGGUACAGGAUGGCCGCGCGGCCUAUCAGCAAGUUGGUGAGGUAAAGGUUCACCAAGGCGACGAGGGGGAGCCGGCCUGAGGGGGUGACCGGCCACCCUGGGACUGAGACACGGCCCCGACUCCUACGGGAGGCAGCAGUGGGGAAUAUUGCACAAUGGGCGCAAGCCUGAUGCAGCAACGCCGCGUGAGGGAUGACGGCCUUCGGGUUGUAAACCUCUUUUAGCAGGGAAGAAGCGAAAGUGACGGUACCUGCAGAAAAAGCACCGGCUAACUACGUGCCAGCAGCCGCCGUAA